rnacentral:misc_RNA from 1 species
UCCGGUUUGUCACCGGCAGUCUCAUUAGAGUGCUCUUGCGUAGCAACUAAUGACAAGGGUUGCGCUCGUUGCGGGACUUAACCCAACAUCUCACGACACGAGCUGACGACAGCCAUGCAGCACCUGUGUUCAGGCUCCCUUUCGGGCACUCCCCGAUCUCUCGAGGAUUCCUGACAUGUCAAGGGUAGGUAAGGUUUUUCGCGUUGCAUCGAAUUAAUCCACAUCAUCCACCGCUUGUGCGGGUCCCCGUCAAUUCCUUUGAGUUUUAACCUUGCGGCCGUACUCCCCAGGCGGAGAACUUAUCGCGUUAGCUGCGCCACUAAAGGACAAAGCUCCUCCAACGGCUAGUUCUCAUCGUUUAGGGCGUGGACUAC